UACGUAAGGGGCAAGCGUUGUCCGGAAUCACUGGGCGUAAAGCGCGCGUAGGUGGUUUGGUAAGUCGGGUGUGAAAUCCCCGGGCUCAACCCGGGAACUGCGCCCGAAACUGCCUCACUGGAGGGACGGAGAGGUGCACGGAAUUCCCGGUGUAGGGGUGAAAUCCAUGGAGAUCGGGAGGAACACCAAUGGCGAAGGCAGUGCACUGGACGUUUCCUGACACUGAGGUGCGAAAGCGUGGGGAGCGAACGGG
rnacentral:rRNA from 1 species